rnacentral:rRNA from 1 species
UACGUAGGGGGCAAGCGUUGUCCGGAUUUAUUGGGCGUAAAGGGCGCGUAGGCGGUGCGGUAAGUCUGCAGUGAAAUCUCUGGGCUCAACUCAGAGUCUGCUGUAGAAACUGCCGUGCUUGAGUGUGGGAGAGGUGAGUGGAAUUCCCGGUGUAGCGGUGAAAAGCGUAGAUAUCGGGGGGAACACCUGUGGCGAAAGCGGCUCACUGGACCACAACUGACGCUGAGGCGCGAAAGCUAGGGGAGCAAACAGG